CGCGGCCUAUCAGCUUGUUGGUGAGGUAACGGCUCACCAAGGCAUCGACGGGUAGCUGGUCUGAGAGGAUGAUCAGCCACACUGGGACUGAGACACGGCCCAGACUCCUACGGGAGGCAGCAGUGGGGAAUAUUGCACAAUGGGCGCAAGCCUGAUGCAGCAACGCCGCGUGGGGGACGACGGCCUUCGGGUUGUAAACCUCUUUUAGCAGGGAAGAAGCGCAAGUGACGGUACCUGCAGAAAAAGCACCGGCUAACUACGCGCCAGCAGCCGCGGUAAUACGUAGGGUGCAAGCGUUGUCCGGAAUUAUUGGGCGUAAAGAGCUCGUAGGCGGUUUGUCGCGUCUGCUGUGAAAAUCCGAGGCUCAACCUCGGACCUGCAGUGGGUACGGGCAAACUAGAGUGCGGUAGGGGAGAUUGGAAUUCCUGGUGUAGCGGUGGAAUGCGCAGAUAUCAGGAGGAACACCAAUGGCGAAGGCAGAUCUCUGGGCCGUAACUGACGCUGAGGAGCGAAAGCGUGGGGAGCGAACAGGAUUAGAUACCCUGGUAGUCCACGCCGUAAACGGUGGGAACUAGAUGUGGGGUCCGUUCCACGGAUUCCGUGUCGCAGCUAACGCAUUAAGUUCCCCGCCUGGGGAGUACGG
rnacentral:rRNA from 1 species